rnacentral:rRNA from 1 species
UAGGGAAUUUUCGGCAAUGGGCGAAAGCCUGACCGAGCAACGCCGCGUGAGGGAAGAAGGUCUUCGGAUCGUAAACCUUUGUCAUCGGGGACGAUGAUGACGGUACCCGAGGAGGAAGCCCCGGCUAACUACGUGCCAGCAGCCGCGGUAAUACGUAGGGGGCGAGCGUUGUCCGGAAUUACUGGGCGUAAAGGGCGCGUAGGCGGUCUAAUAAGUCAGAUGUGAAACCCCCGGGCUUAACCCUGGGCUUGCAUUUGAAACUGUUGGACUUGAGGACAGGAGAGGAAAGCGGAAUUCCCAGUGUAGCGGUGAAAUGCGUAGAUAUUGGGAGGAACACCAGUGGCGAAGGCGGCUUUCUGGACUGCACCUGACGCUGAGGCGCGAAAGCCAGGGGAGCGAACG